CGUUUGUCCGGAUUAGCUGAGAGGUGGUGCAUGGCCGUCGUCAGUUGUACUGUGAAGCAUCCUGUUAAGUCAGGCAACGAGCGAGACCCACGCCCACAGUUGCCAGCGUACUCUCUGGAGUGACGGGUACACUGUGGGGACCGCCGCUGCUAAAGCGGAGGAAGGAAUGGGCAACGGUAGGUCAGUAUGCCCCGAAUAUCCCGGGCUACACGCGAGCUACAAUGGUUGGUACAAUGGGUAUCUACCCCGAAAGGGGACGGGAAUCUCCUAAAACCAAUCUUAGUUCGGAUUGAGGGCUGCAACUCGCCCUCAUGAAGCUGGAAUCCGUAGUAAUCGCGUUUCAACAGAACGCGGUGAAUACGUCCCUGCUCCUU
rnacentral:rRNA from 1 species